rnacentral:lncRNA from 1 species
GCAUACUGUCCAGUAAUACGACGAAUGCUACUGCAAACAUGCUAUGCCUGCACGGACUUGUGCUUUUUGCAAUGCGUCUCCAUAGCGACCACAACACGUGCGUGCCCUUCAUGCAAGCCACGCCAACACCAUCGCGCGAAAAGCGCUGUCGAGCUCCCCCAGCACAGUUUUAAAAAUGAAGCUUUUCUUGGCGAACCACGGUGGCUUUCAUGUCCGUGGCUGCGGCCUGGCCUCGCUGUUCUCUUGCCGAAUACGCCAAGCAAUCCCAGCAGAGUACGCACCACGCUCGCAGCUGGGUGCCUUGCACCACCACCAGAUGGCGCUCGCAUCCGUGGCAGCGGCGGCCAUGCGGAGGAAAGAAAUAAGAGGACCCCGAAAGCUCGUCUUCGCGGUUAUCAGGGAGUAAACCCUCCUUGCGGAUAGAAUGGAUUCGAAUGUCGCUAUGUACGUGCGCGCAUGCUGUCUCCGAAACCAUGAUGCGUUCAAGGCGUCUGUCGUACUCGCUAGUAGUCAGCAACUCCGCUUAACUCAGUAUAAUUUGUGUGUGCCGGCGCUUGUGCAUGGGUGUGUGUGUGUGCCUUUCCCUUGUCGAUCAGUCUUCUACAGUGUCUACUGAAAGAGCCAGGGAGAGCCAUGAAUUUCCCGCACACAGCCAUUGUGCUGAUCCACUUUGAGAAAUAAAGGAAUCCACGAGGCAGUUAUGCACCAUCAUGCUUUAUUCAUGAUUGACACUUGAUUGAGUGACAAUUUACGUUUUCAUAUUGCGCAGUCAACGAGAUCGAGCAUGUACACUUCCUUCUGAUGUCUAGUACAACAAGCGAACGGAAUGGCAGCAUUUCAACACUCCUGCACGACUGCGACGUCUAACAA